GUCCUCGCUUAGGCAGCACAUAUACUAAAAUUGGAACAAUACAGAGAUUAGCGUGGCCCCUGCACAAGGAUGACAUGCAAACUCGUGAAGGGGUCCAUAUUUUU
ensembl:snRNA U6 U6 spliceosomal RNA